rnacentral:lncRNA from 1 species
UGCUUAGCACAGUGCCUGGAACAAGUAUUUAUUAUUGCUCCAUUAUAUUUAUAUGUUUAUUUUCAUGUAUAUUUUAUAUAUGUAUAUAUAUUUGUAUUUAUUAAUAAAUUAACAAUUGUUUAUAUUUAUGCAUAUUUUCUAUAUUUAUAUAUAUUUUGUGAUCCAGCAGCAGCAAGGCUCCUCAGAAGCAGAAAAUACUGGUUUGUGCCACCACGCCUAUGGAAGUUUCGUGGAAUAUUUUGUCAUGCCUCUACUGGAAUCUUCAGAGGAAGAAGAGGUCAUUUCCAGUUGUGUUUGAUUCUUCGUGACUCUGUUUUUGGCAAAGAUACUGGAGUUAUUUGGUACAUCCUUCUUCAGCUCAUUUUCCAGAUGAAGAAACUGAGGCAAACAGUGACUUGCCCAAGGUCACACAACUAUGACCACUAUUACUCAGAGAGAGAAGCUGUAUUUCCAGUGAGAAUUGGACUGACCUCUAAGAUCUCUUUCAAUUAAAAGAUUCCGUGAUUCUAUGAUGUACAUUAUAAAAAUGUAAAGAUGUUGUUAUCAUUAAUAAAGCAAAUUAUUUUAUGACA